AUACGGAGGGUGCAAGCGUUAUUCGGAAUCACAGGGCGUAAAGGACGCGUAGGCGGGUUGGCAAGUCAGAUGUGAAAUCCUACAGCUUAACUGUAGAACUGCACUUGAAACUGCUAACCUAGAGUAUGGGAGGGGGAGAUGGAAUUAGUGGUGUAGGGGUAAAAUCCGUAGAUAUCACUAGGAAUACCGAAAGCGAAGGCGAUCUCCUGGAACAUAACUGACGCUAAGGCGUGAAAGCGUGGGGAGCGAACAGGAUUAGAUACCCCAGUAGUCC
rnacentral:rRNA from 1 species